rnacentral:rRNA from 1 species
UACGGAGGGGGCAAGCGUUAUUCGGAAUCAUUGGGCGUAAAGGGCGCGUAGGCGGCUUGGCAAGUCAAAGGUGAAAUCCCUCGGCCUAACCGAGGAACUGCCUUUGAAACUGCUUGGCUUGAGGCCGGGAGAGGGUAGCGGAAUUCCCAGUGUAGCGGUGAAAUGCGCAGAUAUCGGGAGGAACACCAAUGGCGAAGGCAGCUCGCUGGGACGGUACUGACGCUGAGACGCGAAAGCGUGGGGAGCAAACAGG